ensembl:lncRNA
GCCGUGUCACACAGCGUGUGGGAUCUUAGUUCCCUGAGCAGGGCUCAAACCCACGACCCUCUGAAUUGGUAGCAUAGAGUCUAAACCGCUGGACCAUCGGGGCAAUCCCAGGCAGGCAAAUGUUGCAUCUGAUGAUUCUUCCCACAGACAUAUGGGAGAAGAGAUGCCAAGAAAGAUUGUCACAAUUUUGUUCACUUGGUGGAUUCUUUACCAGCUGAGCUACAAGGAAGACCCUCUUUCAAAACAAAUAUCCACGGUGAUGGGAAGAAAAGUCCAUUUUUUCAAAGGAACAUUUACACAUUUGCUUUUUCAUCCUAGUCACGCUAUACCACAGAAUAUGAAGUAGUACAUAAUUAAUAAACUUAAAAAAAAUUCAGAAAACUAAAUUCAAACAUUCCUAAGUGUUGCAUUAAAAAAUAAAAGUCAAUGUGCCAUAAGGACA